ensembl:lncRNA
CUAGAGUUUUAAAAAGUCUUAUUACCUGCUGAGAUAAUUUUAAUUCUUCCUUUCCAAUUUACAUGUCCUUUAUUGCUUUUCUUCUCUGUUUUUCAGAGAUUAGUUCUCACGAUGUUGCCCAAGCUGGUCUUAAACUCCUAGGUUCAAAGGAGCCUUCUACCUUAGCCUCCCAAGCAGCUGAGACUACAGGAAUGGGCACUACAGACCAUGUCAUCAUCCUGGCGUCACCCAGGCUGGAAUGCAGUUGCAUGAUCUUGGCUCAUGGCAGCCUCCACCUCCUGGGUUCAAGCAAUUAUCUGGCCUCAGCCUCUGGCAUAACUGGGAUUACAGGUGCGUACGUACCACCAUGCCCAGCUAAUUUUUGUAUUAGUAGAGAUGGGUUUUCACCAUGUUGGCCAGGCUGGUCUCAAACUCCCGACUUCAGGUGAUCUGCCCACCUCAGCCUCCCAAGGUGCUGGGAUUACAGGCGUGAGCCCCCAUGCCCGGCCAUCUUUGUUCUUCCUUGAGGGCCCCUUCUUCCUUUUAAACCCUGAUAGAGAGCAGAACUCCACCCACAUUGUGGCUGUUUGUGUUGACAAUGGGUGACAUCACCAACAUCUGCAAUGACACUGCACUGCACUCGGUGCAGGAGGGACACACUUCUGUGCACACUCUCAACUUCGACUACACUGUGGAGUGCAUCCUUGUAGGUACAGAGGGUUCGCCCUGGGUGAAGGCUGAUCUUAGCAGGGCUUGAACCCCAGAAAUACCCAGGCAGGUAUUUAGAGGUGAGGUGGAUGGAACCAGAUCCAGGCCUGAGUGUCCUGUGAUUUAGUGGCAGGGAACCAUCACAGGGGAAGGAACACACAUUGCGUUUCAGUUCUAUAUAACUCAUAUCUUUAUGAUACCACGUACUUUUCCUUAGUUUAAAAUAUCACAGAUCUACCUAAGAGUAGACAGACUCCUCCAACGGAAAUAUAAAAAUGCCUUGUCAAAGAAAAUGAAAAAAUAAAAAUAAAAACAUGUCCCCCCCAAAAUAAAAAUAAUAAAAUAAAAACUAAAAAUGCCUGGCUGGCCUGGAUGUGGUGGUCUCAGCCUAGUGCCAGCCCCAUGUGGGCUGAGCUCCAACUGCUGACUACAGGCCAGAGGGCUGCUGUCGCCCACAGCCAUGGAGGGACAUCUGUGCCUUCAGCGCAGCAGGGGCUCUGCGGAGAGGUGUGGAUCUGCAGCACGACCUCUGGCAAAACUCAUGCCCCUGACCGUCAGUAGGAACAGGAGAUGAGUUUUGGUGAUGCGUGAUGGGUGGGCUGGCCACCUCUGACAGUGCCAUUCUGUGGCUACUCAGUAUGGGGUUAAACUGGGAAUCAGAACUGCUGGAGGUUUCUGUAGCUAUGAUGGCAAUGCCCAAAUAUGAUUAGUCAUCUUCUCAUGGAAUGGAGUUCAGACCCACACUGUCAGUUUCAGACAGAGUGAACAUUUGAAAAAGGAAGUAGUUCUUGCCCCAGGUGUUUGAGGAGCAUGAGCCUCCCUUGCGAGCUAUCCCUGCAAGAUCCAAGUUCCCUCACCCUCAAUUUGAGUGAAUUCUUAGCACAAACACACCUCUCACAGGUCCCUGGGGCUUGAGCUUGGGAAGGCAGUGGGUCCCUGCAGAGGAGUGGGGCUAGCUGCUAUGCCAGACACUGGACUGGCAAAACACACCUGGCUUCUCCACGACAGCCCCAUGGGUCAAGAGGAUUGGCGCUGCCUGUGUCUUACUGAAAUGUAUUUUUGUGUAACCAUUUACUUUUAUGUGGAAACUGAUAAGCUUUUGAUAAUAGAGGCAAAGCAGGAAGGACUAAGUGGGAACUACAGGCCAGUUGAAGGAAAAUACAGCCUGGGCAGGGUGUGGGGGCUCAUGCCUGUAAGCCCAGCUCUUUGGGAGACCAAGGCGGGAGGAUGGCUUAAGCCCAGGAGGUUGAGGCUACAGUGAGCUGUGAUCACACUACUGCAGUUCAGCCUGGGCAACACAGCAAAACCCCCAGCUCCAGGAGAAAAAAGGAAAAUACUAACAGGAUGCCAUCUCACAUGUGUGAUGCACUGAGUGAGUCCUCUGUGUUCAUCUUUAUUAUGGACACCCCGAGUCUUGAGAGCCCCCGGCU